GGAAAAGGAGCUUUACCCGAAAAACGAUAAGGGAGGUGUCUCCAAGGAAGAAUUGAGGUCCCAGCGCUGAAGGAAAAAUAAUAUCGCUUUGGCUUAGGACAUAAGCCAAACAUAAAGCAGAGAAGAAUAGAGCUGGAAAAAAGGCAAGAAAGAAGAAGGGCACGCCUAAGUGGAGAGGAAAUUAAAUGGGAACCAAUGAUAAUUCCCCACAUAUCCAAAACCUUUGUAUCAGGGGGAAUCAUUCAUCUUGAGAGAAGUGUGCCAAUGAAAGAGGGCAUCAAUGCCGUACAUGAUGAUACGAGUGAAGAAGGGAUUAUGUUAGAUAUUCGUCCCUAUGAAUCUGGGAGUGUUCUAAAUAAUUGGACUGCAGAAGAAAUACCUGAAGUUUUUAGAGCUUUAUCAGAGUAAUAUUCAAAACAUGCUUGCUAUUUUAGCCUAAAGACAAUGGAAACUUUUUGUGAGAUGGGCUUGUGUUUGAACAUCGUUAUUUUAAUGAAAUAUAUCUUUGCGAUUAUUUUUUAGCAGAUAUUCUUUCAAGAUUCUUUCAUUAUUUUUGCACGAAUAGUCAUUUUGGAUUAUUUCAUUCUCUUGGAUUUUUUUUCCAAAUCAUUCUUUCAUUAAUUCAUGAUCAUACCACAUAAAUAAGUAUUCUUAAAUUCAUACAUUCUUUGUAUAUUCUUUGGUACCUAUAACAGGUCCCCAGAUAUUAAUGAUAUGAGUAACUCUAAUAUGUACUCGAAAAAUCAUUUUGAGCGGGAUAUGUGUUUAGAGGGAUCGCUUGACUUUAAAGAUAACAUAUAUUGUAACCUAUCUCCAACUUAUUGAGGAUGGUAGAGUAGGAGAAGAAACAAAUCUUACCUCACAAGGAGACGGUGGAGAUUGUGACCCUGGAGGAAGGAAAGGUGCUGAAGAUUGGAACAUGCAUAGUUGAAAAAGCAAAACAAGACUUCAUUAAGUUACUUUAAGAGUUCAAAGAUAUCUUCGCAUGGUCAUACCAUGAUAUGCCUGGAUUAAAUACCGACAUUGUAGUUCACCGACUUUCUAUAAAAGAGGAUUGCAAGCCAGUUCAGCAAAAACUCCGGAGGAUGAGGCCUGAUGUUGUACUAAAAAUAAAGGAGGAGGUUCAAAAACAAUUUAAUGCUGGGUUCCUACAAGUGGUCAAAUACUCGGAAUGGGUAGCCAAUAUUGUACCCGUCCCUAAGAAAGAUAGGAAGGUACGAAUGUGUGUAGAUUAUAGAGAUUUAAAUAAGGCUAGCCCGAAAGAUUAUUUUCCCCUGCCUCACAUCAACAUCCUGGUGGACAACACGACAGGGCACUCACUAUUUUCCUUCAUGGACAGUUUCUCGGGAUAUAACAAAAUUAAUAUGCAUUCUGAAGAUAUGAGGAAAACCACUUUCGUAACCCUAUGGGGAACUUUCUGUUAUAAAGUGAUGUCAUUCGGGUUGAAAAAUGCGAGAGCCACAUACCGAAAAGCCAUGGUAACCCUCUUCCAUGAUAUGAUGCAUAAGGAAAUUGAAGUAUAUGUUGACGACAUGAUCGCAAAAUCCCAAACGGAAAGAGAACAUGUGCAAGUCUUAAGAAAGUUGUUCUUAAGAUUAAGAAAGUUCCAACUCAAACUCAAUCCAGCCAAAUGUAUCUUUAGAGCUAGGUCAGGAAAGCUUCUGGGUUUGUAGUCAGUGAAAAAGGGAUCGAAAUCGACCCAGACAAAGUCAAGGCAAUUUGAGAUUUACCUCCACCACGUACUCAGAAAGAAGUUCGAGGUUUCUUAGUAAGGCUGAAUUAUAUUGCUCGGUUCAUUUCACAACUGACCGAGAAAUGUGACCCCAUAUUCUGUCUUCUGAAGAAACAUAAUCCAGAUGUGUAGAAUGAAGAAUGCUAGGAGGCUUUUGACAAGAUAAAACAGUACUUGUCCAAUUCUCCAAUGUUGUCACCGCCUAGGCCAGAUAAACCACUGAUCCUGUAUUUAACGGUGUUCGACAACUUCAUGGGAUGUGUGCUAGGUCAACAUGAUGAGACGGGGAAAGAGGAGAAAGUGAUCUAUUAUCUCAGUAAGAAAUUUACUAACUGUGAAAUGAGAUAUUCGCCCAUUGAAAAAUUAUGUUGUGUCUUGAUCUAGACAACACGGAGAUUGAGGAAAUACAUGCUCAAAGGGAGGAUGGCUAGGUGGCAGAUCCUACUCUUCGAGUUUGAUAUAGUCUACGUAAAUCAAAAGGCUGUCAAAAAGAGUGCGAUAGCAGAAUUUUUGGCCAGCAGACCUUUAGAAGACUAUAAACCUCUGAAUUUUGAUUUACUGAAUGAAGACUUGAUGUAUAUGGAAACCACUGAAGAGGAUUCCCACGAAUAUCACCCUUGGAAGCUAAACUUUGACGGAGCUUCGAAUAUUGUAGGCAAUGGAAUUGGGGCAGUCCUUGUGUCCUCUAAUGGAGAUCAUUAUCCUUUUACCAGCAAAUUGGAUUUUGAUUGUAUCAAUAACAUGGCUGAAUAUGAAGCUUGCAUUAUGGGCAUUCGGGCAGCCAUAGAGCGAAAAAUUAAGAUACUAGAGGUAUACGGAGACUGUGCAUUGGUAAUAUACCAGCUCAAAGGAGAAUGGGAAACGAGAGACCCAAAGUUAAUCCGCUAUCGAAAGUUGGUUCUGAAAUUAAUUGAGGAGUUUGACAGUAUCACUUUUUAUUAUCUACCACGAGACGAAAAUCAGAUGGCUGAUGCUUUAGCCACUCUAGCAUCUAUGAUCAAAGUGAACAAAUCAAAAGGCAUGAAGCCUAUUCAAAUCAGCAUUUAUGAGACUCCAGCUCCUUACUACAGUAUUAAGGAUGAGAAAAUGAUGAGCAUCCAUGGUACCAAGACAUACUGCAAUAUGUAAAGAAUCGUGAAUACCCCGACCAGGCGAUGGAAAAUGAUAAAAGGAUAUUGAGGAGACCGGUCAUUGAUUAUGUCUUAAAUGGAGAGAUUUUGUAUAAAAGGGGAAAGGAUAAGUAUUGUUGAGAUGUGUGGAUACUGCAGAGGCUGAGAAAAUUUUGGAAGAAGUCCACGAAGGUACCUGUGGAACGCACACCAACAGCUUCACAAUAGCCAGACAGAUUAUGAGAUUUGUGUACUAUUGGUCCACUAUGGAAAGAGAUUGCAUUAAUUAUGCCAAAAAGUGCCAUAAAUGCCAAAUUUAUGGUGACAAAAUCCAUGCACCUCCUCCACCUCUUUAUGUUAUAACUUUUCCAUGGCCUUUCUCCAUUUGGGGAAUAGAUGUCAUCGAGCUAAUAUCACCAAAGACUUCUAAUAGGCAUCAUUCUAUAUUUAUUGUUAUUGACUAUUUCACUAAAUGGGUGGAAGCUGCUUCAUAUGCUAACGUCACGAAGUCAGCAGUUAGUAAGUUUUUGAAAAAAGAAAUUGUAUGUCGAUAAAGAAUGCCUGAAAGAAUUAUAUUUGAUAAUGCGCUGAAUUUGAACAACAGCUUAAUAGCGGAAGUUUGUAGUCAGUUCAAGAUCAGGCACCAUAAUUCGUCACUGUAUCGCCCCAAAAUGAAUGGUGUCGUGGAAGCAACUAACAAAAACAUCAAAAGAAUUGCAGGGAAAAUGACUGAAACUUACAAGGACUGGCAUGAGAAAUUACCUUUCGCUCUUCUUGCAUACCGAACACCUAUUAGGACUUCUACUGGGGCAACACAUUUUUCUCUAGUUUGUGGGAUCGAGGUAGUGUUACCUAUUGAAGUUGAGAUCCUUUCCCUCUGGGUGUUAGCUGAGCUAAGGUUAGAUGAGGCCGAAUGGAUUCAAUCUCAAUAUGAUCAGCUAAACCUAAUAGAAGAAAAAAGGUUACAAACUAUUCGUCAUGGUUAGAUGUACUAAAAAUGAAUUAUGCAAGCCUACAACAAAAAGGUUCAUCCAAGGGAAUUUCAUGAAGGGGACCGAGUGUUGAAAAAGUUUCUUCCUCUACAAAAGGAUUUUAGAGGAAAAUGGAUGCCAAAUUAGGAAGGACCUUAUGUUGUAAAGAAGGCCUUUUCUGGAGGAACUUUGAUCUUGAGUGAGAUAGAUGGUAAAAGCCUGCCAAACCCUGUAAACUCGGACUCAGUUAAGAAAUACUUCACCUAAAGAAAGGAAACGACCAAAGUGAAAACCCGCAAAUGGCGCUUUGAAAAAAAAGAUAUAAAAAUUAAAAGAAAAUGAGAGGUCAAAGUGAAAACUCGCAAAAGGCGCUUUGAGACCAAAAGGGGUAAGUUGAAAACCCAAAAAGUGUGGCCCGAAUUUUAAUCAGAAUGGGACGUGAAGUGAUCAGAGCAGCUCAAAUUUUGCUCAGAUAAGGGCACGUGGUGAUCUUGUUAUACCUGAAUCAACAGGAAAGGGAAAGUGACAUCUUGGGGCAUCGACAGAGUACUAUAGAUCUCCCAAACACAUGUCAAACUUAGAAAGGUCUCAAUAAGUUUGUUUAGAGAAACUCAUGCUACGAUAUUCGAGGCACCUGUUUUUAUCUUGUUCAUUUUUUGAAUCUUAGCAAAAUUUGUUAUCCUGAUUAAUUUAUUCAUCUCGAGCUUUGCUUUAAAUAAAAUUUCAUUUUGUCCAUUGUAAUAAUCUUUUUCAACUUAUUUCGUAUAUUAGCAAAAUUUGCUAUCCUGAUUAACUUAUUCAUCUCAAGCUUUGUUCUCAAUAAAAUUUCAUCUUGUCCAUUGUGACAAUUUUUUUCAAACGUUUUUCAUUGAAAUAACGAUUAAUGGAUUGAAUACUUUCACAAGGGAAGUUUUGCAUAUUACUCUAGAAGUUUCUAAAUAAUAUAGGAACCUGAAAGAGGACUAUUGUUUGGAACACACCUAGUUUAAAGUUUGAAAUAUCUAAGAAGGAAAAGUCUAAAUUAAGACUAUCCUUUUGGGUUUUUGUUGCCACCAAACAUUGAUUGAACAAAAUGUUGUGUCGGUGAUAAGACUUUAAUGAACAAACAAGCAAUGAUCACCGAGUGAUAAGGAGAGGUUUCUCAGAAGAGAAAGUGCUACAGUUGUGCAUAAACAUUUGGUACGACACCCUAGGAAUGAUGUACGAUCAAAGAGCUUCACAUUUUAUAUCCUUGAAUUAUGAUAGGAGAGGAUUGAGAAAAAGCCAUAUUUUUUUACCAUUGGGUUACAAUGGGAGGAUGAUGGUACAACUUUUUGCAUCUCAGUAGAUUGAACUUUGAAGUUUACAGUGGGGGGCAAUCUAAUUAAGUGUUUCUUUGGAGAUGCCAGCCAGAAGGUAUUAUAGCACAUCAGUGAUAAAACCUUAAUAAACUUCGAGCAACGACAACCUAAGCGUUAAAGAGAGAUCAUUCUCGAAAAAGUGACAUUGCAGUGGAACAGAUUAAAGAUAGCAAAUUUUAUUUCCCUAAAGUUGCAGUGGAACAAAUUAAAUCUACCAUAACAGAUCUCAUCUCUCUAAAGUUGUAGUAGAGCAGGUUAAAAUAGUAAACAUUAUCCCCAUGAAGUUGCAGUGGGACAAGUUGAAGAUACAAGUCUUAUCUCCCUGAAAUUAUAGUGGAGCAGAUUGAAGUUACUAAUCCUACCUCCCUGAAGUUGCAGUGGAGCGGAUUAAAAUGAUGGAUCCUAUCUCCCUGAAGUUGUAGAGGAGUAGAUUAAAGAUAGCAAAUCUUAUUUCCCUGAAGUUUUAGUGGAACAGAUUAAAUCUACCAUAACAGAUCUCAUCUCUCUGAAGUUACAAUAGAGCAGAUCAUAUCAAACUUUUUCUCUCUAAAGUUGCAGUAGAGCAGGUUGAAAUAGCAAACCUUAUCCCCAUGAAGUUGCAGUGAGGCAAGUUAAAGAUACAAGUCUUAUCUCAUUGAAGUUGUAGUGGAGCAGACUGAAUAUAGCAAAUCUUACCUCUGAAGUUGCGUCGCAGCAAAGCAGGUUGAAGCAACAAACCUUAUCUCAUUGACAUUGCAGUGGAGCAGGCUAAAAUCACAAAUUUUGUCCCCCUGAAGCUGCAGCAGAGUGGAUUGAAGCUACAAGUUAUAUCUCUCUGAAGUGGCAGUAGAGUGGAUCGAAGUAACAAGGCACAGUAGAUCGGAAGGAGGCUACUUGAGGAAGAGAAGCACCAGAACAAGUUAAGCAUGGGCGAGACCAGGCAAAAUUGGUCUUUCUUAAUCUUUUCUUUAUUUUCGUUACACGAUAAUGAGCAAAGCGGGGCAGCUGUAAGGCUUAGAUUAUGCCCGGCCCAAAAAAUCAACCCAAAUUAUUAAACAGUCCUUGUCCAUUUACAAAAUUUAACCCAUGGCCCAACCAAAUUAACCCAAUUACUAACCCAAACCCGAUGCCUAACUACCUCAAGCCAAAAAUAUAAAGCCCAAUACCCAAAAUACCCUAGCCCAUUUUCAGAAGAAACAAAGCUUGCACACAAAGUUUUGGGUCUGCAGAUAUUAGGAGUACCCAAUUUUGUAAGUAUUUUAUUCUCUCUAUUAAACGGAAAUUUAUGGUCCGAAAGAGCAUAUUACCUCACAUAGCUGCACAGCUGUGAUAUCCUUAUCCCCUUGUUGAUACCAUAGGAUAAAUGCUAAAUAGUAAGGGUAGUUGCUGUUCUCAUCUAUCUUGAUGGUAAUAUUUUUGUUGGGGUAGCUGCAUGAAACACUGAAUAAACAGAGCGGAGGAACGAGUAAGAGAUCCAUGAUUUUGUAUAUAUGAUACACUUCUAGAUUAUUGAGAGUAAGGUGGAUUAAAAGGGGAAAAAUGACACGCUCCUCAAUAUAGAGAUGUCUUACCGCCUAUAUUCAAUGUCAACAACUCCAAGGGCUAAUAGAGAUGCAGCUGCAUCUUUUGUCUGAGCCAUCCUACCAAAGGCUCGUCUGCUCAGGAUAAAGUCAGUAUUGGGGCCUGAGCCUUGAUCGGUUAUAACCACAGUCACACCUUUGUCUGAGCAAUAGUGGCUGUUGGUGCACCUCACCUAUUAUAGCAAUAAUGGAAGAGCAGGUUAGGUACUAUUUAAGCAUGUGAAAGGAUAUCUAUGUUAUGUUUCAUGACAUAUCAAGGCACGCCUUUCUUUAAUACCUGGUAGCAAUCACCACAGCCUACACCAUUACGGUAGAGAUCAGACGCUGCUGAUACAUCUCCACCGUUUAUUGUUGCUCCAAAAGAACCAAAACCGCAUGCACCCACUGCAAUUCAGUAAAGAAAAUAAAUGAGCAUGUAUGUUUGUAUUAUGCAUGAGCACAACACAAGUACACGUUCCUUGCAUUCUCUUACCAUCUGUUCCAUGUUCAUCAGAGUUUGGGUAGUAAGCUGCUCGCGAAUGGAUGAAACCCUGACCCUUGACUUAUCAGCCGCCACCGCCGCGCGUCUGCCACUACCAUGGUCACGUCGCCGUCCCCCACUUGCGCCGUCACCUGCAAGACACGCAAACAACAAAAGCACGCAAGGAAAAUAGUAUAAAUAACUCAGUGUUGGCUAUAAAAGCCAAAUCCCAUCACUGUAAUUGGGGUCUUUUUUUUCUUCUUUUUUUCCACGAACAUUCAAGAAAUAAAAAAGAAAACAAUUUUAAAGGUGAUUCCUUUUAUAUUUUCCGAUUGGUUUUUUCUUUCGGUCUAUUUAUUCAUUUUUUUUAUUUUUUUACAUACGAAAUAAAUAGAGGAAAAAGGGAAAGGAAAACAUACCUGAAUCGCCCCACCAGUGUCGUUGCCGGAGCCCUCCUUCGGGUCACCGAAAUCAGAGGGAAAGGUGGCGCUUGGGGUUUUCUUUCUACGGCCCUAGGGCCAUGAGGGCUUGGCCCUCAGCUGGUCCCUGAAGCGGGGUUUAAAAAAAUCGUCUAUUAGGCCUCCGACCACCUUCUACGGCAGGGCUGAUGGUAGCCUAUUCGGCCGGAGAAAGGGGAGUGGAGAGGGCAUUUCUUUUUCUGAAGUUUUUUUUUUAAAAAAAACAUUGAGAAAUUUUUUUUUGCUUUAAAUAAAAGAUAUUAAACGGCGCCGUUUUGCUAUUCAGGGUCAGGUGCCAAAAUGACGCCGUUUUGGCCCUGACCCGCGCGGUGACCCGACCCUGGGGGGAGGAUCUGCGUGUUUUCUUAAAGAGGGAUAUUUAUGCGCCAAGUCCUUCCGCUUUCGCGUUGUCGUGCAAUGUCGUCCCUCUUAUUUUCUUAAAUUUAGCCGUGUAAUUUUUUGCGUAUUUCAUUUCAGUCUGCGCCAAAACCCUAUGCAUAGGGCUUGGGAUAUUUUCCAAAUUGACCCUCUGCCCUUUUGAGCGCAUUAUACUUUGGUCCCUGGGACCCUUUUUUCGUUUAUUUGCAUUUUAAACCCCGAAUUUCGUCUCAAAAUUCAAUUUAGCCUGUUUGUUUUAUUAUUUUAGCUAUUUUAUUAAUAAUAUUAGUAAAUUUGAUAUUAUUAUGGUUAUUAUUAUCAUUUGUUAUUGUUAUUAUAUUAUUAUUUAUGUAAAUAUCAAAAAUAUUUGUCUUAUUAUAUUGAUACUAUUAUUAUUUUCUUAUUUAUGUCCCUUUUAUUUCAAACUUUGUCAUAUAUGUAUAUAUGCAUUUCUAUAAUAUAUAUAUCUACAUGUAUAUGUUCUUCUAUUUAUAACUCAUAUAUAUACAUAGAUAUCUUUUAUAUUUAAGAAUUUUUAAGUAUACAUACAUAUAUUCUUUUUAUAUAUUUUGUAAUCUUAAAAUAUACAUAUACAUAUACAUUUUUAUAAUACAUGUAUGUACAUAUAUUUCAUAAUUUAUAUAUACUUGUUAGCCUUUAUAAUUUUAAAAAAUAUAUAUAUACACACCCUUUUUUACUUUUUAUUUUAUUUUAUUUAUUUAUUUGUUUUGUUUUGUUUUACUCGAUGUUUAUUUGUUUAUUUGUGCAUAUGUUUAUUAUUAUUUUAAAAGAUUGUCCUAAUUAUUCAUCUAUUCACUUGUUUUGGUAUAAUUGAUUUGCUUUUUAUCAUUUGUAUCAUCGUAUUCAUUAUUGUUUUGUUACGAGUGUUAACAUAGUAUUUUCUUUCUAGUAUUUCGUGUUAGAUUAAUUUUAUUCAAUACAUAAAUUAUGAUUUUUGAAUAAGCAAAAUCUCGUGUUUAGAUUCAAGAAGGUCGUACCCUAACUUACUGGGUUUCAAUUUUCACAAUAAAUCUAAAUACACGAAUCUUUUCAAACUCACGUUUUAAACGACCCCGAGAAUUAAGAAGAAAUCGUGUCCUAACUUACUGGGCAUGAUCCUUUUUUUUUCUCUCAAGUUUUAAAUGAUCUUAAGAAAAGAUCGUGUCCUAACUUACUGGGCACGAUACCUUUUUUAAAUCCGAGAUAGCUAAGUAUCUUUUAAAUAAGUAAAUUAUGGCAUUCAUUCGUGUAUCAGGAAUUCAAGACAUUGUGUCCUAAUUUACUAGAUAUAAUUCUCAUUCUCGAUCAACGUGAAAUAUGCUCUCUUCCCAAAAAUUUUCUACAUUUCAAUAAAGGGUCGUAUGUUAAAUCUCUUUAAAGUUUUCCAAUCUUCGACACUAAGACUUUAAUUAAUCAACUAGGUACCAAUUUUGGGCGUUACGAGGGUACUAAUCCUUCAUCGUACGUAACCGACUCCCGAACCCAUUUUUCUGAAUUUCGUGGACCAAAAUCAUUGUUUUAAUAAAAUUAAAUUGUUUAUUAAAAAUAACUACUUUUCAAGGUGGCCCGAUCACACCUUAUCAAAAAGGAUUGGUGGCGAUUCCCAUUUCGUUUUCAUUUUUAAAAUUCAAGUUGACCCCGUUUAUCCAAAAAUUGUGCCAACAAAAAUAGUAUGUGAUUAUUGUUUUGAUAUUGAAUGCUAUGCAUGUGUAUUAUGUUAUUGAAGAGAAAGAGAAGAAAAGUGAAGAACAAAUUGGGGAUAAAGGCAAGGGAGUUGCAAAGGAAUAAAGUAAGAAGAAGAAACAUCCAUCCAAGUAUUUUGAUGUAAGUAUAUUAAGAAUUUUUACCUUGUAUGAUUUAAACCCUAAAUGAAAAACAUGAUAAUUUAUUUUAGUAAUAUUUAUAUGAUACAUUAGAACUUAAAAAUGUAUUUGAAAGUGUUGUGUAUUAAUAUGGUAAAUUGAAAAUGUGUGUAAGUGAUUAAUUUUAUAAAACAAAAACUAAAUUGUAAUAAGUGAAAAAUAUAAAUAGGUGAAUUAAAUAGUGAUAUGAAGUAUUAAUUGAAUUAUUUUACGUAGAUGAAAUAAAUGUUGAGUGAAAUUUGAUGAUAGUUAAUCAUAUAUAGAAAAAAAACACUAAAUUGUAAAAAAAAAAGUAAAAAUGGAACUAUUUUUAGUUACUGAAUGAAUGUGGUGAAUAUUGUGUGUGAAAUGCCCAUGUAGACAAAUGAGAACUAGUAGGAUAUAAAUGAAAUGUUAUUAGGAAAGUGAAUAAGUGCGCUAGUGAUAGUGGCACUACGGUGCAAGUAAAAACGGCACUACAGUACAAGUGACAGUGCAAAUGAGUGGCACUUCGGUGCAAAGUGAUAUCCAUAUGUCCGUGUGAGGAAUAAUGCCACUUUGGUGUAUCUUAUCAAUAUUUCCGUAUAUCUUAACAUGUUCUAUUAAGUCUACAAUUGGGCAUUAGCAAUAUGAGGUAAGUAAAAUUAAUGUGGCAAAGGUAAGUAGUUUGAUACUUGUGAAUUUGGUGUUUUAAUAAAUUUAUUAUGGAACUAAAACUUGUGUAUAGGUUAUCUGUCGUAAUUUGACAUGCCAAAUUAGGCUCCCCAUUACACUUAAGGAGUUUAUUCUUAAGCAGUUCAAGUGUCUUUUCUUUACUUUUUAGUUAUUUUCAGGUUUCGUAUUAACAUAUAGUUUUUAUGUAUUUUAUGUUAUUUUUUAGACCCAAGAUAGCCAAAUGUGCCAUCGAGAACUUAACGGUUGAUUGAGUGUUGUAGGGAGCCAUUAGAGUUCCGAAUAUGAGUGAAAACAUUGCCUAGAAAGGGGUAUUGUGACAUCAAAGCAUGAAAGUCACAACUCCUCCGAUAGGCCUAAAUUGAAGAAGAAAAGGGACCAUCUGCAGUGAUUUUGCGAUUUUAACACAUUCACCAACCAAUUCAAGACAUUUAAACCAAGCCAAAACCAAGUCUUAAACUUGACAUUUUACACAUAUAAUCAAUGUGCCCUUAGGCUCCCCAGUAGACAAUUUAUUAUUAUGUCAUUCCAAAACUUAUACUUACUUAGAUACCAAAUGCAUAUAUGCAUAAUCAAAUUCAUACCUCAAACAUGAUAAUACCAUAUAAAUAUAUCAAAACAUGACCAUUAUAAGCCAUUCCAAUGGCUAUUUACAACCAAAACAUGUGUAUGUCAACAUUUGACCAAUUUAACCUAUACAUGUCAUUAUAUCCUAAUUAAAGUUUGCUAUUUAUACCAAAAAGAGCUGAAGGAUAGUGUGAUCUUGCUCCGACCCGCUCCGACCCGCUCCAACCUUUACGAGCUUCCGAGUACUAUAAAAUAGAGGAAAUAAAACAGAGUAAACAUUUAAUGCUUAGUAAGUUCAUAUAACAGGAAUUUAACUUACCAAUCAUGUUCAUUUAAAGUAAGCAUACAUAGUAAACCCAAAUCAAUGUAAUCAAUAACCUAAACACAUAUACAUCCUCAUCAAACAUGUUAGUUAUGUAAUUCAUAUUAAUACCAAGAAAUAUGGAUGAGCUCAUCAAUAUUCCAUUUCCACGUACAUAUAUUUAUCACUUCCAGUUUCCAAUGAACAUGUACAUAUCACAUCUUUGUAUAUCAAGUAUUUCUCAUAGUCACUCAUCUUGAAUUUAUAUCAUCUCAUAUCGAAACUUUACUCGUUGAAUCAUUUAAAAUAUCGAUGGAUACAUAGGCAGUACACACGAAGUGUAUAAUAUGGUAAACCCUUCAACUCAUACCCAGGAGUGCUUAUAAAAGCACAUAAAUGGGAAGCUUAUCCGGGCUAAAACAGAAAGCUCAUAAGAGCUGUAUUCGAGAAGCUCAUACAAGCCUAUAACGGGUAGCUCCGAAGAGCCAUUAAUCGGGAAGCUCUGGAUAGUUAUAUGUCGAAAAGUUCAAACGAGCCAUAUCAAGAAGCUCACAAAGAGCCAAUUUAACGGGAAGCUCACGAAGAGCUAUAUAUCAGGAUGCUCAUAAGAGCUAAGGUGUGUCCUCAACACAUGUAGGAUCAUAAACUAUCGAGACGCUCCAAAGAGCUAUAACGAGAAGCUUUCAAGAACCAUAUAACGGAAAGCUCACGAGAGCUAAUAACAAGACACUCUUUUGAGCUAUGGUGUGUCUACAACAUAUGCAAGACCAUAAACAAUACGAGAGCCCUGUAUCCAAUCGAUUUUCAUGUAUUCAAACGGGAUUUAAUAUUUAUCGGACAUUUUCGGAUAUAUGAUUAAUUUCAUAAACAUAACAAUUACACAAUUCAACAUUCACAUAUACAACGUUUAAUUUAAACAUAUAAAUGUACACAAUUUAGUUACACGAACUUACCUCGACACUUGCUCGUGUACAAAAAUCUACUAAUCCGAUACUUUUUCUUUUCAUCGAUCUAACUCCUUAUUUGAUCUUUCUGAAUCUAUAUAAAUAAGUUUAACAUCAAUUUAAUUCAGUCCAAUUCACAUCUUAGGCAAAAGUACCAUUUUGCCCCUAUACUUUUGAUUAAUUCCAAUUUCAUCCUUAGGCUUGGAAAAUAAAAUUCAUGAAAUUUAAUCUUCUUUCCAAACCUAGAAAUUUUUAUACAUGAUAAUAGAAAUCCCAUGAAUUCCAUAAAAUACAAAAUUUUCAAUAAAUUAAACAUCUUUUCAAUUUAAUCUCUAAAUCAUGUUUUCUUAAAAUUAAUAAAAUACUUUUAAAUACCCAUCAACACCUCAAAUUCAUCAUCUAAUUACUAAAAUCAUAUAAACCCAUCAAUGGUAACUUCCAAAAUUUUCAAUAAAAUCAAAAACCAAGGUAAAUGUUAAUUGGACCUAAUUGUAACAAUCACAAAAACUUAAAAAAUUUCAAGAAACGGGUGAAGAUUUGACUUAUAUGAAGAAAAAUUGAAAAACCAGCUUAAAACCCUCUUCAAUGUUUGUUUUUAGAACUGAAAAUUAUGAAGAAAUGUCUAUCAAUUUCAAGCCUAAUUAUUCAAGAAAUCAACAAUGAAAACUUUCACAAACUUUAACAAAUUUUAGAAAUUAGUACAUAGGUUAGCUAAAUCAAGCUCCCAUGACUCUAAAUGCAUAAAAAUUACAAGAGAAGGAUUUGGAAUCACCUUAAUAUUUGAUGGUCGAAUGUUUUUGAAGCAACAAAAGGUUUCUCCUUUGGUUUUUUUUAUGUUUGGAUGGUAGAACAGAAGAAAAAGAUGACAAAUAUCCAUUAUCUUGCCCUUUUAUAUUAUGCUUAAAUGUUAAUUAACUUGGUUUUGAUUAAGUUAAUCAUGUUUUAAUUAAUUUAAUUCAUCUUUAAUCAAGAAUUAGUGGAAUCUUCCAUCAUCUUCCACUAGUUCCUAUUGCAAAAUGGAUUAAUUACCAUUUUAAACCUUCAUCUAAUUGUCAUUUAAGUCCUCAAGCUUUUGACAAUUUAAACUCUAUAGCGAUUGGACUUUUACAAUUUAGUCCAUAGACCUUAAUUAACUAUUAAUUUGACAAAUUUUCUUAACCAAAAUUUAAUACAUUUUUAUAUUAUCCUAGUAAAUGUUAAUUUUUAAUAAUUACUUACUUGAUUUACAAAAAUGAGAUUCCAAAACUACCUUUUUUGAUACCACUAAAAAAUUGGGGAAUUAUACGACAUUAUUUUUCAUGUUGCUAAUCUCUACUUUAUCAACUAAAUUUGAUCGAAAAUAUACCAAAAAAUGAAACACAAAAAAAUCUAAGAUAAUAAUUUUCAUCUUUUCUCAUUCAUUUAAAAUUAACCUCCAAUGUCACUAAUAGAAGUAAAACUGUUUAAAAAAUAAGAGACCAAAUUACACAAUGUAUAAAUGUUGAGGGUUAAUUUUUUUGGAAUCAAAACUAAUUGACACGUAUAAAUGUUGAGGGUUAAAGUUACUAUUAUGCUAAUUUUAAAAGUUGUCAAGUUAUCUUUUCAUUAGUAAUUUAACGGUUGGUGACCAAAAAAGAAAAAUCUGAAUUGUUGGGUGACAAAAAAAAUCGAAUAGUUUAAUGACCAUUUUAUAACCUUUCACAGUUGAGUGACUAAAAAAAGCUUACCAAUAAUUGAGUGAAGUUUACCCUUAAAUUUUUAAUACAAUUAUCAUUUUGUAUAUUAUUAAAUUGUCCGAUUCAGGUAAGAUAAUUGGAUAGUGUUACUAUUAUUGUUUUGAGAGGAUAAUAACAUAUGCAUGCCAAAUUUAGGAUUCUUGAUUAAUAACUCAACUCUUUCUAUUUUUCUUUUUAAGAGAGAUUAACUUAAGUCCUUAUGGAUAUUAUUAUUAUUAACAAAUUUUGCUUUCACUACCUAAACCAAGCAGAUUAGCCAAAACAUUCCCGGUAGUGGAUAUUUAUUUGGUAAGUACGUAAAAUUACAUAUCUCUUUUAUUAAUUAGGUUAAAAUAUGUUGUUAGUCCUUGUAUUUUGACAAUUUUAAGAUUUAGUCCAUGUAUUUAAUAGAAAUUAAGUUCUCCUUUUUUUUUAUUUAAAAAUCUCAAUCUUGUCAUUAAGAUUAUAAGUAUUUUCUGUCAAAUUUGUCGAAUUAGAAUUUUCAUUAGGCUAUCCUCAUAUGACAGGCCAUAUGAUUAACAGAAAAUAACCAUAAUAAAUUGACAAAUUUUAGUAGAAAAUUAAUUAAAUUGGAAAAAAAAUGGAAGGAUUGAAGUUUUAACUUUUCAAAUACAAGGAUUAAAUCUCAAAUUCAAUAUGAGUACAGGGACUAACAACGCAUUUUAACCUAUCAAUUAAAGAUUCAUUUCGUCUUAUGUAAUUUGUUUGUGUAGGUAAGCAGAGCAGAAGGCAAACUCCGCCUCGGUGGGGCGACUACUCUCUUCACCUGUUUAAGCAAACCCUUUUUUUCUUUAUAAAACAAAGACACGCGCGUGUGAAAAGCCAACGGACUAUAGACACGUGGAUGUGAAAGCGACUGUGACAAAGGCAAAGGAAACAGCCGGAGAAGGGGGCGGUAUGUGGGGAUUAUUCAAGUCAACGACUUGAUUGUCACUCAUCUUUCGUUGUUGAUAAUAAAAUUAAAUCGGUUUCUCUUUUCUUUUACAAGUUUUUAUUUAUUAAAAUAAUGGUUUUAAAACGUUAAAAAUUACUUGUAAAUUAAUUAAAAUUUAGUUAAAUUUCUAAUUGAAAAUUGCAGUAAUCUAGCAAUUAUUGAGACUUUUAAUUAUAAUUUUAUGUUAAAAAAUUUGACAUGUUAACGGACGUGAUUAUCUGUGAUAACUACAUGAAAUAUAAUACUGAUGCUAUAAAUGUGGUGUUUGAUUCGAAAAAUAUUAAUGUGGAGGGCUUAAUAAUUUUUAAUCAUUUUACAAUAUCUUAAUUGAUUGUUUAAUUAUUUAAGAUUAAAUAUUAUUAAAGUAUUAUAAAAAAUUGAGAAUUUAUAAAUUAUAAAAUUAUUAAAUAUUAUAAAAUAUUUUUGAAUAUAUUAUGAAAAUUAUGAAAGAAUUAUAAAAAGUAUAAGAAAGUAUAUAUAUACGUGUUAAAAUGAUUAAAAAUUUAUAAAACUUAUUAAAAAGUUACAAAUUUAUAAAAAGGAAAUUAAAAAAUUAUAGAUUUCUUUUUCUUUUUAAGGUUUGGCGUCUUUCACUUUAGAUAAUACUUAAAUAACGAGUUUAAAGUGUGAUGGUGAUCGGACUUGUAAGAAUUUGAUUGAUAAUGAGUUUAGUGUUUAGUGGCUUUGAUAUUAUUUGAGGGAAGUUGAUAAAAAUAGAUUGAGGUACGAUAUAGGAGGAAAGAAAAAAAGGGAGGUAUUUUUUUAUUAAAAAGCUUUUAGAAAUUAUUAAAAUAUUAUAAAAAAUGUUAAAAAUUAUAGAAAAUUAUAUAAAUUAUUAAAAAAAUUAGAAAUUAUACGUUUUUCAUAAUUUUAAUAUUAAAAAAUCAAUUAAGCUCCUGUAUUUUAAAAAAAUCAAUUAAGUCUUCUACGUCAGUCACUAUGUCAAUUGUCAUGUAAGGAUGACAAAAAAUUUCAAAACCAACGUGGUUCGAGUUGAUCCGACUAGAUAGGGUCAGAUUUUUUUCUUGAAAUCAGGUUUUGAGGCCGGUCGAGAUCGGAUUUAGCAUGAAUUUGCCCCACCUCAAGAUAUUUACAAAAUUACCCUUAUAUAUUUAAUAUUAAUUAGGUAAAAAAAUCCUUAAACUUUAUCACUACCAACGCCAUUUUACCACUUUUACUCCCAUUUCACAUUGUUUCUUUCUCCUCCCAUUUUAAUUUAUUUUUCCAAGUCUCCAUCUCAUUUUCAUUACUUUUCUUUUCUUCUAUGACAUAAUAUAUAUUUUUUACUUAGUCAUCUCAAGCAUGGUCUUUUUAAAAAAUAUAAUUUUGAAUUUAAUUAAUCAUAAUUUCAAAAAAAAAAGUUUGAACUCAGGUCAAGUAGGAUCAGAAUGUUGUGUAUAUAAUUAAUUUCAAGUUCGAGCUCAGGGUGGGUUAAAUUUUUUUAAGCUCAGGGUCAGGCAAAAAUUUGACCCUCCCUGUCCCUUGCCAUCAUUAUUGUCGCGUCAUCACUUAAACGGCCAGUCAAGGGCUUCGACGAGAAAUUAUAUUUCAAGGACUCAGUUGAUUACUAACUUUUAAUUAAUGGCUCAACUGAUUGCAGUUUUUUAUUAGGGACUUAAUUAGUUUUUUAAAAAUUAUUUUAGGGGCUUUUUUUGGGCGUUUAAACCUAAAAAAAAUGUUUAAUUAUCUAUUUAUGAAUACUAUUUUGUCUUUGAUUGAGUCAAUGUUAUAAGUUAAUUAAAAAUUAACUCGAUUGAAAAAUAAGUUAAAACCAUUGAACCUAAGACAUCAUAUCUUAAAAAUAUCAAAUUUACCAUUUCAACUAAAACCUUAUUUAUUUUUAACAUAAACUUUAUAUAUAUUUACAUAUUUGUUUCACCUUGGUGCAUUAAGCCUAGUUUUUGUUUUUCUAAAUUCUUAAAUUUUAUCUUGAAAUGAAAUUUGUUUUUGGUAUUUUUCAUGUCAGUUUUAUUGUCCAUAUUCAGGUUCGGGAUUGUCCUUCCUAACAAUUUCAUCUCUAAAUUUCAAGCAUACAUUAUUUCCUUAAAAAUGCAAUAUACCUUACAACUACACCCAACACUUGUUAAUAUUUAGCUUCACGUUUUCAUCACUAUAAUUCCAUCAACCCAUGUAAAUUGCUUCUAUUUUUUUUUUAAUAAAGAUAGAGGCUUAAGGGUUUUUUUAUAGAUGAAACUUGAGAUUAAUGUCAAUGAACAUAACUUUUUUUCACUUCACUUAUCCAAUCGAUUCUUAAUUUACCUUCUUAAUUAACAAAAGAAAUAUAUUUUUUAAAAAUUUUGUUUUAAGCUAUUACAACUAAUCGUAUUGAUCUUUGCUUUGGUUUAUUGAUGCCCCCAUCAUUGUAAUAUUCAAAUAUUUGAAUUUAAUCUUUUAUUUUUAAUUUCAAAAAUUAAAUUCCAAUUGAUAAUAUUAUUAACCGGACUCCUAUUAAAUUUGAAUGUGUUAUUAAUUAGACUUUAAUAUUUAAAUUUAAUCUCUAAAUAUUAAAAGAUCAUGUAUAUUCAAAUUGAACAAAAACCCAUUAACAAAGUAAAUUUCUGAAAAUAAAAUGAAAAAAACUAUAUAUAUAUAUAUAUAUAUAUAAAGGAAUGGAACUUAUUUAUGUUCUUUGCCUUUCCUAGUUCUACCAAGUUGUUAUCAUACUAAUUUUCAUUUAAAAAAAAAAGCAAUAAGAGAAACAGAAAAUGUUAAAAAGUCAAGAUUAGCUCAACUAAUAAACUUGAACAAUCAAUUAUUGUGUACAUAAACUAAUAAUACACAAAUAACCAAAAAAGAAAAAAAAAUGAUAAAAGAGGAGUCCACAAGCUAUUUGAUUGAACAAAUGAAGCAGUAUAAAAUCGGAAAUUCGAUAUGUGUCACAUACUCUAUCACAUAUACAUAUACAUGCAUGCAUGUAAGGCAAUAUGAUAAUCUAAUAACUGUAACGUUACUUUCCUAUAUUUUUUGGUAAAAUGAUCUCCAUAUCUUUGAUUUCCUCAAAGUGUACGCGAUCUCCAAUUAAAUUAAUAUAUAUAUAUAGUAAAACAUUUUGAUGAUUAUGAAAAUGAAUACAUAUAUAGGGGCAUUACAUAAGUUGCAUAUAUAAUUGAGUGGGAUUGCAAAUUGGACGACGGCUAUUUAGUUAAGAUCAUCAAUCAAUCAACAACACUCACAAAGUCUACAUUGGUGGUGCAUUUUGAUUAUAGCUUUUGUGGUCAUUUAUGUAUGUUACAAGAUAGUAUAGCCCCGUCGUCUACCUAGCUAGCUAUCUGUAUAGUAGCAGUAAACUUCUAUAGAAUUCCAAGCCUUAACACGUGCAAGCGUUGAUUGAGCUUAAUUUAGAGAGCAAGGGACCCCUGGUUUGUUUCUUGUCAAUUUUCAGAUUGUCAGCUAACAUGAAACUCUCUAUAGUGACCUUACAUUGCCAUCCACAUCCAUUCAAUGGCUUACAUGUAAUCUAUGGCAAACGAAAAAUUCAAUACUUUUAUGUGUUCGGUAAUGGAAGUAUUAGUUUAAUAAUGCAUUUAUUAGGUGGUGAAUCUCUCAAGUAAUUGAUUGUAUCUUCAAAUAAUCAAAGUUCUUAGGCGAAUGUCUAAGAUAAAAGAUUUGGACGGCACUAUUUCUUAAACUACUUACUCUAUUUCCUCAUCAAAAUAAAUAUUUUGAUUCCUUGUCAAGUUAAUGCUAAAAAGGGUCAUAAACUGUUGAAAGCUGGACUGCAAUGCAACAUGGAGCCAGAAGCUUGCUACUGUCGAGACCAGCAGCUAUCGAGCUCAGCUCAUUUUGCUUGGUGCGCACGAAUGGUUUUUGAACCGAAUGAAGCAACCAACUUUGCUGUUUUGUUUUGAUGUAAUUUGGUUCAGUUCAAUUUUAGUUUCUUUGUAAUACUAGUUAAACUUAAGUUAGUGAUAAGAUCUUUUGAUGUAAUGGCUGAUUGGUCAGCUAUAUUUGAUUAUUUUUGGCUAGUGAUUAGGUUUGUAUUAGUUGGGGCAGUUAAAUACAUUAGGUAACUGUCAAUGUACAUUGUAACUCUUUUAUAUUUCAAAUUUGAAUGAAAAAU
rnacentral:lncRNA from 1 species